rnacentral:lncRNA from 1 species
UAUAUAGGGGUGUAUGCAAUAAGUGAAAAACAUUAUCACAGUUUAUAAACUCAUGCAUGCUAAAUGUAAAUGACUCACACAGGCUUGAGUAAUCUGAAUUCUGAAGAUCAUAAAUCUUAAAUGAUAAAAUAUAUAACGUAAAUCUUGUGAGCCAUUACACUUAGUUUCUAAAAUCUGGAAAAUACUUUAUCGUAAGGCUUAAGAAUCUUAAAACAUUAACUUCUAAAACAUAUGCUUUUAUCUUAAAGCUUUAAAUUAAUAGACUGUUGAAGAGUGGGGGACAUCGUUUUGGGAGGUUCUUCUAACCGGCCUACACCAUGUGAGCAUCCAUGGAGUCCCAUAUCUGGCCCUCGUUAGGUAGGGUUGUUCCACCCUUUCCAUCAGAAUAGAACUUCUAUCUUAGUGAUCACAAUGUGAGUCAUCAACGUAGAGUUGGAAUAAAUAUGAAUCCUACAUUGGCACAUAGUUCUGGGGUAUGAAACCGUAGUAACUUACUCAUCUCGGUGCUAAAUACUACUCCCAUUCUAUGCUCAAAAUAUUAAGAAAUCCACUUCAAAAAUAGAACAAGGGUUUAUAAGAAAACCAAUUAUACUUUUCUUUCUUUAAAUCUCAAGUUAUCUUAACAAAGUGGAUUCUUUAUCUUAGCUUAGGAUCAAAAGGUCAAAUCUUUAUCAAAAUCUGUGAAUAAUCUUAUCUGAGGGUGCUCAUGGAACAAAUAAUCUCAAAAUAACAAUCUUAAAUUGGGGCUUAAUGACCCAUGCAUCAAUCUUCAUAUUUAAAACAUCUUAAAAUUUAUGCUUAAUGAUAUAAACACUCAUAAUUCAUCAUAAAAUCGGGAAAUUACUGCACAAUGCAUAGAAAUAUAAAUAUAAUCAUGUAAUUCAACUUCUAAAUCAUGGGAGAUCUCAUAAUCUUGCAAAUAAUUAUAAUAGGUAAAAACCUUAACUUAAACUUCAUGGGAAAUCUUAUAAAUUACAGUAAAUUUAUAAUUAAAAUAAAGUUUUGGGCACAAGGAUGAAAGAAUUAUCCUUGUUCAAAACCCCACAUACCUUAAUUUGAUGAUCUUGUUGCUAGAACUUGAAUCUUGGAUCUUUAUUCAUGUUUUGGAGAUGACUUCUUUGAGUUCUUGAAUUUGGAAUUCUCAAUCUUGAAGAGUCUUGGAGAAUUAAUGGAGAAAGUUUGGAUUUCUUAGGGAGGAAGUAUGAG